AUACAGCAACAACCUUCCUCAUGCAUCACUUCUAUUUUCGGAUGAGUUUGCUUCCAAAGCACACACUCUAUGGAGUUGUUUAUAGAGCUGAAAUGUUAAGUAGCUGGAAGAAAAACAUGAAAACACAAGCAUUUCUGUUCUAGUAAUAGUGUGGCCACAAACUUCCCACCUCAGGAUCCCAGAUAACAGGUAAACCAAACAAGGUGUGUGUCUGCCAGCCUACCUGUGCAAAGGAUGAUGGGAUGGUGAAGCAGAACUUUCCGGACUGUUUCAUGUUGCUUAGACCUUGUCUGCCAAAUAAUCCAUAGAGAUGGACCCUAUUCAACUGUGGAUUAGCUCUCGUGACUCACCAACCUGUUCCAGUAUGUUCCAGCUUUAGAGAAAAACUAGUGUCAUGAAUAUCUGACCAUUUCUGAAGAUUGGAAAAACAGCCAUAAAUUGUUUUCAUUCUUAAAAAUAAUGAAUAUAGUGCAGGACAACAAAGGCAUCUCUUGUUCUCCUCACUAUGAUUUGUUCAGUAA